UCUGCAAGAUCAGCAAGUGCCCUUGACCACGUAGCCAUCUCUCCAGCCCCUGGCUCUGAUAAGAAAGAGAAAAUAGGGCUGGAGAGAUGGCUCAGCGGUUAAGAGCAUUGCCUGCUCUUCCAAAGGUC
rnacentral:miRNA from 1 species